rnacentral:misc_RNA from 1 species
CAAAAAGAAAAUUUUUUUUGAAACAGGAAAAUCUAAUUAGUAAGAAGAGCACAUGUCAUCUAAUUAACAGCUAAUUUAUUGUAUGGAGGAGAACGCGGGAUUUGUGGAUUCGUUUAUAUGGAUUCGUUUCCAUUGUACUUACCGUUGCUUAUUCAAUCCCUUCUUCACACAGAUACAACUCUUAACAGUCUUUUAUUUCUAAAUUUUUUUUUUCUCCCUUUCCAUUUCUGGAGAGAAAGACCCCAAACCCAUUACCUAAUUCAUCUUUCCUUCCCAAAGAUCACCAUAAAACCAUCCAUUUCUUGGCAUCAUGGAAGUGGGUUUUUAGCCCCAUUCCCAUUUUGCAGUGUGCCAAGAGAAGGUGGGUGUCUUUAUUGUUUUCUAACAUGGGGUUGGUGAGAUUUUGUUACACGUAUGAGUAUGUUUUAUGUUGUGUAAUCCAAUAUGAAGAUUAGAAUGUUCACAGGGUAACAAGGCUCGGAUAGCAUUUUGACUGUAAUUUUGUUACAGUGUUGGAUUUUAUGGGUGUAGGAAUUGGGAUUGGAGAUCUUGGCCCUGCAAAUUUCGGAUAGUGUGUUUCAUCAAUGGGGGUAUCAUCUGACAAUUUUCAUGGACUUGUUUUGGCCAUUUCGUCGAGCAUUUUUAUUGGUUCUAGCUUUAUUGUAAAAAAGAAAGGUCUCAAAAAGGCUGGGGCAACUGGAACUAGAGCAGGCAUGGGAGGGCAUUCAUACUUGUAUGAACCAUGGUGGUGGGCUGGGAUGAUAUCUAGUAAGUUCAACAGUACUUUCAAUUUGUGCCUCUAUAAACUUUGUGGAAAUAUCUAGACAUAUGCUCACACUCACUCAGACACAUACCAUUGAGCAAUAGUAAACUUGUGAUAACUAAAAGAUUGUGUUUUAAAAUUUGAUGAUUCAAUUCAAAUCCAAAUGUCUAUGCAAUGAAGAAUGCAACUGAGCUUAAGGACUAAUUUUAUAAAUAUUGAUCUAGAUUAAGUUCAAAGUGGCCUAACUUAAUCUAGACAUAUGCUCACAUCCAAAAUCGUUUAGAGUGGAAA